rnacentral:rRNA from 1 species
UAGGGAAUCUUCCGCAAUGGGCGAAAGCCUGACGGAGCAACGCCGCGUGAGUGAUGAAGGUCUUCGGAUCGUAAAACUCUGUUAUUAGGGAAGAACAAAUGUGUAAGUAACUAUGCACGUCUUGACGGUACCUAAUCAGAAAGCCACGGCUAACUACGUGCCAGCAGCCGCGGUAAUACGUAGGUGGCAAGCGUUAUCCGGAAUUAUUGGGCGUAAAGCGCGCGUAGGCGGUUUUUUAAGUCUGAUGUGAAAGCCCACGGCUCAACCGUGGAGGGUCAUUGGAAACUGGAAAACUUGAGUGCAGAAAAGGAAAGUGGAAUUCCAUGUGUAGCGGUGAAAUGCGCAGAGAUAUGGAGGAACACCAGUGGCGAAGGCGGCUUUCUGGUCUGUAACUGACGCUGAUGUGCGAAAGCGUGGGGAUCAAACAGG